UGUUGUUGUGACACAUAUCAUUCCCUGCAGAAAUAUAUACUUAUUUUGGGGAAUUUUUGUAAUUAGAAAAAUCGAUUAAUUAUGCUUUUGUCUUGCCUUUGAAUAAUAAUGUAAUAAACAUGGUCCAAAACCUCAAAAAGGCUUCAACUCAAUUGUUUUGAAAUUCCAAACCCUAAAUUCCCAAAACCCCCGACCCACUUGGUUCACUCAUUGUAACAUCCAUCGAAGGGUAAAGAAUGGGUGACAAGAAGAAGAAGGCUCAGAUGUUUGUAAAACUAGUUUCUGCUGCCGGCACUGGGUUCUUCUAUGUUAAGAGGAAGCCAAGGCAAUUUACUGAGAAGCUUGAGUUUCGAAAAUUUGAUCCUAGGGUUAAUCGUCAUGUUCUGUUUACAGAGGCUAAGAUGAAGUGAUUGGUAUCUUUUAUGGCGUCAUUUCCAUUGUAACUGGAUCAGAUCAUUAUGAUACUUCUCUGUGAAACUCUUUUCUAAUAUAGUGUUAAUUUUCGAAUCAUGCCAAUCUUUUA